rnacentral:rRNA from 1 species
AACGAACGCUGGCGGCAGGCCUAACACAUGCAAGUCGAACGCCCCGCAAGGGGAGUGGCGCACGGGUGAGUAACGCGUGGGAAUAUGCCCUUCGGUUCGGAAUAACACUGGGAAACUUGUGCUAAUACCGGAUACGAUCUACGGAUGAAAGAUUUAUCGCCGAGGGAGUAGCCCGCGUAGGAUUAGCUAGUUGGUGAGGUAAUGGCUCACCAAGGCGACGAACCUUAGCUGGUCUGAGAGGAUGAUCAGCCACACUGGGACUGAGACACGGCCCAGACGCCUACGGGAGGCAGCAGUGGGGAAUAUUGGACAAUGGGCGAAAGCCUGAUCCAGCCAUGCCGCGUGAGUGAUGAAGGCCUUAGGGUUGUAAAGCUCUUUCGCCAGGGAAGAUAAUGACGGUACCUGGAAAAGAAGCCUCGGCUAACUCCGUGCCAGCCGCCGCGGUAA